rnacentral:rRNA from 1 species
UACGUAGGUGGCAAGCGUUGUCCGGAUUUAUUGGGCGUAAAGAGCGUGUAGGCGGCUGGGUAGGUCCGUUGUGAAAACUCGAGGCUCAACCUCGAGACGCCGAUGGAAACCAUCCAGCUAGAGUCCGGAAGAGGAGAGUGGAAUUCCUGGUGUAGCGGUGAAAUGCGCAGAUAUCAGGAAGAACACCCGUGGCUAAGGCGGCUCUCUAGUACGUGACUGACGCUGAGACGCGAAAGCGUGGGGAGCAAACAGG